UUCAAUUAUCUCAUGUACUGUAGGGGGACCUCAAGGACCACAAAUCCUCCCAGUUACACUUUGAUCAAAUGCCACAUAAUAUAUGACACUCCCACCUGCAGCUCUUCAUAUCUCUGAAGUUAUUAGAAACUCUGGCAGUUUGCAUCUAACAGAACAUGGAUAUUAUCAUUAAAGAAGGCCUCCUCAGAUUAUCACUCUUUGUGCUGUGGACUGCAGGUCUAAUUGAAGGGCGCGAUGUCACCCAGAAUGACACACUGUGGAAAUACAAGGGCAACAGUGCAACAAUAGACUGCAGACACACAAAGGAUGCUGAGUAUUUCUAUAUGUACUGGUACAGACAGCUACCAGGAGAAACAAUGAAACUAAUUGUCUUCACAUCAAUCAGCAGCAAAGACUUUGGCAAUUUCAGCACAGAGAAAUUCUCAGCAACCAAACCUGACGCUGCCAGUGGGACAUUCACAGUGAACAAUCUGGAGCCAGAAGAUAAAGGCUUGUACUUCUGUGCUGUUCCUCUCUCAGUGAGAAAGUCCACCAAACUCCAGCUGACAUGUACAACACACCAGGAGGAAAAGCCAAAAUCAAUUGUUCACAUGAGAUUGACACCUAUAACCGAAUCCUCUGGUACAAGCAAACAGACGGACAACUACAUUUCCUGGGAUAUAUGUUAGGAGACUCUGGAAAACCAGAGAAUGGAGUAAAAGUGAAGAUAGCAGGGAGUGCAAAUAAAGGCCAAACCUGCACAUUAACAAUUGAAGAACUCCAGCUGAACAGCAGUGCAGUGUACUUCUGUGCUGCUAGUUUACACAGUGCUACAUAUCACUGCUCCUCAGUACAAAAACCUCAUCACACUCUUCAUCUCUGUAGCACACAGCCUCUUGCACCUGUAUGCUUUCCUUUCAGUAGGUGGUGGUAUAUCUUAACUCAGCCCUUUAUACUGAACCAGUGGAGUGUAGUGGUAGUUGACACGAUAGUUAGAAUAUUAGAAGAUGCACGAUGACACCACCCACCUCAUGCCUUCA